rnacentral:rRNA from 1 species
UACGUAGGCAGCAAGCGUUGUUCGGAAUUACUGGGCGUAAAGAGUGUGUAGGCGGUGUUCUAAGUCUGUUGUGAAAUCUCCCGGCUUAACUGGGAGGGUGCGGCGGAAACUGGAAUGCUAGAGGAUGGGAGAGGUAAGCGGAAUUCCUGGUGUAGCGGUGAAAUGCGCAGAUAUCAGGAAGAACACCCGUGGCUAAGGCGGCUCUCUAGUACGGUACUGACGCUGAGACGCGAAAGCGUGGGGAGCGAACAGG